AACGAACGCUGGCGGCAUGCCUAACACAUGCAAGUCGAACGAGACCUUCGGGUCUAGUGGCGCACGGGUGCGUAACGCGUAGGAACCUGCCCUUAGGUUCGGAAUAACUCCCCGAAAGGGGUGCUAAUACCGGAUAAUGUCUUCGGACCAAAGAUUUAUCGCCUUUGGAUGGGCCCGCGUUGGAUUAGCUAGUUGGUAGGGUAAAAGCCUACCAAGGCGACGAUCCAUAGCUGGUCUGAGAGGAUGAUCAGCCACACUGGGACUGAGACACGGCCCAGACUCCUACGGGAGGAAGCAGUGGGGAAUAUUGGACAAUGGGCGAAAGCCUGAUCCAGCAAUGCCGCGUGAGUGAUGAAGGCCUUAGGGUUGUAAAGCUCUUUUACCCGGGAUGAUAAUGACAGUACCGGGAGAAUAAGCUCCGGCUAACUCCGUG
rnacentral:rRNA from 1 species